rnacentral:ncRNA from 1 species
AUUGUAGCAUUGCCAUCCGGUCUCAAGCAGCGAGUGAAAAGGGAAUCCAGUGCAAAUCUGGAGCUGACGCGCAGCGGUAUGGGGAAGUCACGGCGAUAGCGUUAAAUGACGCAGACACUGUCCACUGCAGGAUGGGAAGUCAUCGCCCGGUGCGGGUUGCCACAGGCAACCGGCAAAUCCCAAGCCCGAAAACCUACCGGUGUACGUCGCAAUAU